rnacentral:tRNA from 1 species
GGAGUGGUAGUUCAGUUGGUUAGAAUACCGGCCUGUCACGCCGGUGGUCGCGGGUUCGAGUCCCGUCCGCUUCGCCA